rfam:Gossypium arboreum cultivar AKA8401 contig_23566_1, whole genome shotgun sequence.
UGUUAAAAACAUCAUCUGUUUUUUUUUUUGUUAAAAACCAGUGUGGCUAAAGGAAUAAUUAGGCAGUUAUACAUGGUGUGCCACGUGCACAUCAUACUAAUGUUUAAUGACCAGUUUUUAAUAGUAAAAAUGGAUAGAAUUUUUAACA